GUAGGGAAUAUUGGACAAUGGGCGAAAGCCUGAUCCAGCCAUGCCGCGUGUGUGAAGAAGGUCUUCGGAUUGUAAAGCACUUUAAGUUGGGAGGAAGGGCAGUAAGUUAAUACCUUGCUGUUUUGACGUUACCGACAGAAUAAGCACCGGCUAACUUCGUGCCAGCAGCCGCGGUAAUACGAAGGGUGCAAGCGUUAAUCGGAAUUACUGGGCGUAAAGCGCGCGUAGGUGGUUUUGUAAGUUGGAGGUGAAAUCCACGGGCUCAACCUGGGAACUGCCUCCAAAACUGCAUGACUAGAGUACGGUAGAGGGUAGUGGAAUUUCCUGUGUAGCGGUGAAAUGCGUAGAUAUAGGAAGGAACACCAGUGGCGAAGGCGACUACCUGGACUGAUACUGACACUGAGGUGCGAAAGCGUGGGGAGCAAACAGGAUUAGAUACCCGGGUAGUCC
rnacentral:rRNA from 1 species